AAGAUAUUAGUUCAAUGGCAGAACAAGAUAUUACGGAUGUCUUAAUAAUAGUUCAAAUCUAUUAUAUCUUU
rnacentral:tRNA from 1 species